CCUACGGGAGACAGCAGUGAGGAAUAUUGGUCAAUGGACGAGAGUCUGAACCAGCCAAGUAGCGUGAAGGAUGACUGCCCUACGGGUUGUAAACUUCUUUUAUAUGGGAAUAAAAUGUUCCACGUGUGGCAUUUUGUAUGUACCAUAUGAAUAAGGAUCGGCUAACUCCGUGCCAGCAGCCGCGGUAAUACGGAGGAUCCGAGCGUUAUCCGGAUUUAUUGGGUUUAAAGGGAGCGUAGGUGGAUUGUUAAGUCAGUUGUGAAAGUUUGCGGCUCAACCGUAAAAUUGCAGUUGAAACUGGCAGUCUUGAGUACAGUAGAGGUAGGCGGAAUUCGUGGUGUAGCGGUGAAAUGCUUAGAUAUCACGAAGAACUCCGAUUGCGAAGGCAGCUCACUGGACUGCAACUGACACUGAGGCUCGAAAGUGUGGGUAUCAAACAGGAUUAGAUACCCGGGUAGUU
rnacentral:rRNA from 1 species